rnacentral:rRNA from 1 species
GCAGCCAUCAUUUAAAGAAAGCGUAAUAGCUCACUGGUCGAGUCGGCCUGCGCGGAAGAUGUAACGGGGCUAAACCAUGCACCGAAGCUGCGGCAGCGACGCUGAUGCGUUGUUGGGUAGGGGAGCGUUCUGUAAGCCUGCGAAGGUGACCUGUGAGGGUUGCUGGAGGUAUCAGAAGUGCGAAUGCUGACAUAAGUAACGAUAAAGCGGGUGAAAAGCCCGCUCGCCGGAAGACCAAGGGUUCCUGUCCAACGUUAAUCGGGGCAGGGUGAGUCGACCCCUAAGGCGAGGCCGAAAGGCGUAGUCGAUGGGAAACGGGUUAAUAUUCCCGUACUUGGUGUUACUGCGAAGGGGGGACGGAGAAGGCUAUGUUGGCCGGGCGACGGUUGUCCCGGUUUAAGCGUGUAGGUGUGUGUUCCAGGUAAAUCCGGUUCACUUUAACACUGAGGCGUGACGACGAGGCACUACGGUGCUGAAGCAACAAAUGCCCUGCUUCCAGGAAAAGCCUCUAAGCAUCAGGUAACACGAAAUCGUACCCCAAACCGACACAGGUGGUCAGGUAGAGAAUACCAAGGCGCUUGAGAGAACUCGGGUGAAGGAACUAGGCAAAAUGGUGCCGUAACUUC